GGUGUCAGUAACGACAUAAUAGGGAAAGCAGAGUAAAGCUGCUACGGUCUCGCCGCUGUGUGAGGGAGCGAUUUUGCAAUGGCCACUGAGUAAUUGGGAAGGCGCAGAAAAGCGAUGAACUCGAGUCAGAAGAUCUGCCUGUUUCA
rnacentral:ncRNA from 1 species